rnacentral:lncRNA from 10 species
CACCAAAUGUUACCUUCUCAGUGAGGAUUUCCCUAACAUCUCCAUUUAAAAUUGCUACCUCUACCUCGACACUCUAGCUCUUUCUGUGAAUUAUUUUCUCCAUUGCACUUACUAUAUAUUUUUUUUUUUUUGAGACAGAGUCUUUGUCACCCAGGCUGGAGUGCAGUGGCACAAUCUUGGCUCACUGUAACCUCCACCUUCCGGGCUCAAGCAAUUCUCCUGCCUCGGCCUCUAGAGUAGCUGGGAUUACAGGCAUAUGCCACCACGCUCAGCUCAUUUUUUUUUUUUUUGAGACGGAGUCUCGCUCUCUCGCCUAGGCUGGAGUGCAGUGGCGCGAUUUCGGCUUACUGCAAGCUCUGCCUCCUGGGUUCAUGCCAUUCUCCUGCCUCAGCCUCCCAAGGAGCUGGGACUACAGGUGCCUGCCACCAUGCCUGGCUACUUUUUGUAUUUUUAGUAGGGACAGAGUUUCACCGUGUGGGCCAGGCUGGUCUCAAACUCCUGAACUCAAGUGAUCUGCCUGCCUUGGCCUCCCAAAGUCGUGGGAUUAUAGGGAUGAGCCAUCACG